AUCACAUCCUGGAGCGGAAGUACGUUCCAAGGGUUGGGCUGUUCGCCCAUUAAAGUGGUACGCGAGCUGGGUUCAGAACGUCGUGAGACAGUUCGGUCCUUAUCUGUCGCAGGCGAAGGAUAUUUGAGGGGAGUUGACCUUAGUACGAGAGGACCAGGUUGAACUUACCAAUGGUGUAUCAGUUGUCGUACCAACGGCACGGCUGAGUAGCUAAGUAGGGAAGGGAUAAACGCUGAAAGCAUCUAAGUGUGAAGCCCACCCCAAGAUAAGAUAUCCCAUACCGUAAGGUAGUAAGAUUCCACGUAGACUAUGUGGUAGAUAGGUUGGAGGUGUAAGUGCAGUAAUGCAUUAAGCUGACCAAUACUAAUAAAUCGAGGGCUUAACCAC
rnacentral:rRNA from 1 species